ACUAUAUAUACGGCACAAUUCCGGUGGAAUGGGCUUCGAUGAAAAAUCUGUCUUCCAUCUCGCUUACUGCAAAUCGCUUGUCAGGAAAUAUUCCUGGACAUUUGGGAAGUUUUACUGCCCUCACCUACUUGAGCCUUGAAUCAAAUCAGUUUUCUGGUGUUGUCCCACCUGAGCUUGGCGAGCUUGUCAGCUUAGAAACUCUGUAAGACAUUUAACUAAAUUCUUCAUUGUGAAGACUUGCCA